ACACUGGCUCGCUGGCCUCGCGGCCUCGCCGUUUUUAACGGUUCUCAGUUUGAACUUCGGAUGUGGUUGCUGGUUGCUCCGUAGCUUUUGUGCAUGCUAGCGGCAUAACGCCGACCCAGAUAAGUACAAGUGCAUGAUUUGUGACAUGUGCUUCAAGAAAAUCUACAACUUAAAGAGGCACCUAAAGGAGGUUCACGGGGACGCUGACACGAGCUGGAUCACACUGUCCGCUGCCGCCUUGCAUGCGAUCUGUGUCCAACUCCACUUUGAAGCGAAACACGGGAUCGUCGCGAGGCGUGACAAGUUAAAGUUCAAUUUGUUGAAAGAAUUCAGUGACUGGAGGGAGGCUAAGGAUGGCAGAGAGCAUGUUCGCUUCAUUCUCCACGACGGACCCAAGGGACGAGAUGAGGGUGUCCUGAAAAGAUGAGACUUCUCCAAAACCUAGGGUAAUCCCUCACAACAAAAAGGUGGAAAAACAACCACGGUACUUUCCCCCCCAAAAAACGCCCUGGUUCUGGCCCCAUGCAUGGCAAACCUCCCACCAGCUUGGAGCAGCAGCACAUCAUGUUGGGCCUCGUAGCCAGGUGAGUUCCUACAGAAGGAGCAGCAUCCGCUCAGCUCCAUGUGGAUGUUCCGAGCAUGUCUGUGCUGGCCCUCAAGGAGCACGACUACUUUGCAAAUCAGUAGUCGUGACAAUUGGACUACAAAAAAGGGGCAGUAUUCUUCUUGCAAAAAGGAAUGGCGUGUUGGACAGCUUGGAUUUCUUUCCACUUUGGAGAAUGUCACGAGAUGCUCGAGCUAAGGGCAAGAGGGGCAUCUCUUACCAUCCUCCAACAGGUUACGUUAGGCGAGGCAUUAUAUGCUGACCUUAAUCGUAACGCUUUUUUAACAACCAGGGAUUGGCAAUUUUAUUUAAGUUGAUCCGGAACGGUUGUCUCUAAAUUAACGGGCAACCAUAGUGCCUCGAAAUGCUCGUUUAUAAGCAUGCCCCUCGCUGAAACCGGCACUUUUUUUUUAGAUAGUAUUACUGCACGAGAAUGUGCAGCUUUUUCCGCUUUGGAGAAUGUCGAGAGGUGCUCGAGCUCGCCAUUCUCCAACAGGUGGCUUAUGUUAUCAGCUGGUCUUAAUUGGAAAAGUGUUUUAAUGGCCAGAGCUUGCCAAUUUAAUUUCAAAUUUAUGCAGACAGGUUACCUCUAAGUUAAUGUGUAACCACAAUACCUCAAGUUGCCUGUUACAUGCUUAUUUUUUAUUUUGCAUACUGCUGCACGGGAAUGUGAAAGUUGCAGUUCCCGCGACAUACCAAAUUAUUUUAGUAUGUGACUUAUAUGCUUUAGGAUAUAAUAGUUUUCUUGCUAAUAAGUGCCUAUAAUCACUGUUUCAUUGUUUUGUGAGCCAAGAGGGAGUGACCGCUGGCGACCACAAGCAUGAGGAUCUGCUACAGGAAGCAUGAUCAUGUACCUGGACCUCGAGACCGGUGGCCUUGGAGAUGUCAGCAAGGCUACGGGGUGAUUUGCUCACCACGAGGCUGUGCAAUUUAGUGGCAUGGAACUAGUGCCUCAUUUCGGAGAUCUCCAUGGCGAGUGAACAGUGUAAGGCUGGUGGGGCAAGAAGUUUAUUGGAAGGUUAUGCCAUGGUGAUCAACAUUCAUGACAGGUUCAUCUGCCGAACUAGCUAUGCAAUUGAGGCAAGCCUGCUAAGUCACUGGGACAUGGAUGCAUUAGUCGUCAGUGUGUGGCGCAGAGGACUUCUAGGGACAACUCCAGGAGACGAACAUGCAAUAUUUAUAUUCUGUCUAUAUUUUGGUGAACCAAUGUUACUGUUGACAUUUAAGUGUGGGACAUUUCGCUUGUGCGGCAAAAGAUAUGUCAGGUGUGUAAUGGGGUCCCACAAAAAAUACCUAUGCUUUGUCUUGAGCUAUGUUCAUAGAGGCAUGGCAAGGGGGGGCCAGAAGAGUGAUGAAAGUUGUGCCGGUGAUGGUCACAGUUUGGGAAAUAAUCGCUUGUUUCUGGAAUAAUUACAACUGCAACUUCCGGUCCUAAAGAUGCCUGCAGCAGACUACGAAUACAAGAAGUAUGCCGUCUGCCACAAGCUGGCGCCAUCGUUUGAAUCGUGUGAAUAAAGACUAUAUUCUGAUAUUGUAUUUGUUUGAAAUAUAAUGACUUUCAGACACUUAUAAGAAUUCAUAGUGGGGUGCGAUGCAAAAUAUGGUUUAUUGAAAGUCCGGUCGUCGAUCGAGAUGGUCGUCUGCUAAAAGAUUGCAUUGCACUUGUGAGAAAAGCACUUCAAGCAACCGGUUGAGAUCCCAAUUUUUUUUUUUUUUUUGCGGACUCGCGUUAUGUGAAAGUGCUUCAUAGCUGGUUGUAACCAUCCCAUGAAGAAAGGUUCUUGCAGUUUCUUCAGAUUCCCGCAAUACCCCAAAGCGCGAGAGAACUGGAUAAAAACCAUAAGGUGAGUACAUGUAGCACUGGCGGACAGUUGCCUCGAUGUAAAAAAAGGGCCAAACCAACCAAGAGCAUGUAAAACCCAUAUUCUGUUCGGUCAUAUUGUUUGAAAAUAUGGCGGUAUAUUUAUAUCUUAUUACUAUAAUAUUGAUAAAGUAGUUG
rnacentral:misc_RNA from 1 species